GAGUGGCGAACGGGUGAGUAACACGUGAGUAACCUGCCCUCUUCUUCGGGAUAACGGUUGGAAACGGCUGCUAAUACCGGGUAUUCACUGGUCCUCGCAUGGGGGUUGGUGGAAAGGUUUUUUCUGGUGGGGGAUGGGCUCGCGGCUUAUCAGCUUGUUGGUGGGGUGAUGGCUUACCAAGGCUUUGACGGGUAGCCGGCCUGAGUGGGUGACCGGUCACAUUGGGACUGAGAUACGGCCCAGACUCCUACGGGAGGCAGCAGUGGGGAAUUUUGCACAAUGGGCGCAAGCCUGAUGCAGCGACGCCGCGUGAGGGAUGGAGGCCUUCGGGUUGUGAACCUCUUUCGCUCAUGGUCAAGCCGCGGUUUUGUCCGUGGUGAGGGUAGUGGGUAAAGAAGCGCCGGCUAACUACGUGCCAGCAGCCGCGGUAAUACGUAGGGCGCGAGCGUUGUCCGGAAUUAUUGGGCGUAAAGGGCUUGUAGGCGGCUUGUCGCGUCUGCCGUGAAAUCCUCUGGCUUAACUGGGGGCGUGCGGUGGGUACGGGCUGGCUUGAGUGCGGUAGGGGAGACUGGAAUUCCUGGUGUAGCGGUGGAAUGCGCAGAUAUCAGAGGAACACCGAUGGCGAAGGCAGGUCUCUGGGCAGUAACUGACGCUGAUGAGCGAAAGCAUGGGGGAGCGAACAGGAUUAGAU
rnacentral:rRNA from 1 species